rnacentral:rRNA from 1 species
AGCGCAGACGGUUGAUUAAGUCUGAUGUGAAAGCCCGGAGCUCAACUCCGGAAUGGCAUUGGAAACUGGUUAACUUGAGUGCAGUAGAGGUAAGUGGAACUCCAUGUGUAGCGGUGGAAUGCGUAGAUAUAUGGAAGAACACCAGUGGCGAAGGCGGCUUACUGGACUGUAACUGACACUGAGGCUCGAAAGCGUGGGGGAGCAAACA